rnacentral:lncRNA from 1 species
AGCCCGAGACUACUCCCCUGCAGAGAGGCCCUGCCCAGGCUAGCCAGCCUCCUCAUUCAGGUCGAUACCAUAAACCCGCCUCCACACUCAGACACUCUGAGUUUCUGCACUGCUGGUGGGUUUCCGUCAGAGGGCAUGGCUCACUCCAUCGAGGCCUUUCUGUACAGGAGUCUGCCUUGCUUCAUUCCCUGAUGCUCCAGUCAGAUCAGUCUCAAAGCCGUGCAGGAUUUCAUAAGUGGUGCCUAAAUGGGAACCUUGACCACAGGGCACCCACAUCCGUCCGGCGAGGGGUGCUCUCAUGAGAAGGGCCCCAAUCCAGAAUCUUACUAAACUCCUGCUACAAAGGACUGGCCCUCUGCCCCCGAGAAAGCCACAGAUAGUGACAGCUGCAGCUCUUACAAUGCCACCAGGACCUGAGAGACAGAGAGGCGACUUUGAUUCACAUGUCAUCCCUGCCUGGACUUACCUGACACCUCAGACUGGUACUGAGGGAAGUGAGGAGAGGAUGGGGCUACCCAACCCACAGUGAUAUUGCAUCUUGGGUCUGGGCCACUGAGAGCUUUAAGGUGAUGUAAACUUAAUCCUCACUGCAACCUCGCUUAGGGGAAGACAGCUGGGGAAGACAUUAAUAUUUUUAACUGCCUUCUUGUGUUUGUGUGACCUGAUCCACAAAAUCCAAACCAAAUGGUCUGUUAUCAUGAGACACCGCCUUUCAAAUCCUUAAAGAAGAUCAAACAAACCCAUAUAGCCAAUGGGCCUAGGCUCCAUAUGCACAAGGAUUUAUUCAGAGUAGAGUAUCCUUGGAGACAAUUCCUGGCCUCAUUCUGACUGGCUAAGCACAGCAAAAUCUUACCUCAAGCCAGGGGAUUCAAGACUGAGUUUUCAGAAUCCUGUCAGGACCAGGCGCAGUGGAAUCUAGUUCACGGAGCUGCUGUAACUGCGGGCAUGCUCAUGGGUACAGGAUCUCAGGGAGGUACUGGGACCCAGUUACACUGUCCUUUGCAAGCCAAUCAACAAAUCAACAUAGCCACCUCAAGGGUAUGGAGAGAGAGAGAGAGAGAGAGAGAGAGAGAGAGAGAGAGAGAGAGAGCCCACCACCAAAUUGGAAAAUACUGUUGAGAUUCACCAAAGCCUACAAGGAUUGCACUAAGACUUUGUGGCCUGGCUCUUACAAACUUAGAGGCAGGAACAGCAUUUCCAAGACAACUGGCUUUUGAAAGUGUUAAGACUUGAAGGAGUUACUCAGGGGUUUGAAUAAGCACAUAAAGUUAGGAGCUGGUUAGAUUCUAGAUCAUGUGUGCACAUGGGUCCUAGCCAUCUUCGAGGUACGGCUCUGACAAGCAGCCUCCAGAGAGCCAUGCUUCAGGGAAGGACUUCAUCCGUUUCCAGGUGUUUCCUGUUUUGGGAAGGAUGACCUGAAUAAGCGAGCCCAGAGAUGGAGACGUGGAGACGUUUUCUUUCUUUCUCUGUUGGUUCUGGACACUGCACAGAGCUGGAUUAGAAGUCAAGCUGCAUCAGGAGCAGUUAAGAAAGAAGAAAGGGGGAGAUGUGUAGAAUAGAUGAAUCUCCUGAGUGGAUGUGUACUGUUGAUAUAAACACGGCUGGGUCAAGGAUGCCAGUGCCUCGGACCCAUGAAAACUGCAAGUCUCCCUGGUCUGUGUGUAGAUGUUGACAGGAUGUACCAAGAGUAUCAACCACAGCGUCUUCCUCCAGAUCAACUGUGGCCUGAGACUGCUCCCCUAAGAGAGGCGCUCUACCAAGGUUAGCUAGCCUGCCUCCAUCUUCAGCUGUGAAUAACACACACACUGAGUUUCCAGGAUGCUGCUGCGUCUUCAUCAGAACCCAUUCCAAUUCCACCCAAUCUCUGCUUCCCUGCAUAUGUGUCCAUUGUAUCUCCGCUCCUUGUCACUCCAGCCAGGUCAACCUCAAGGCCAUGUGGGUCAUGGUGUGUAAUAGUGCCUGGUACCAGCAGCCCACGGAUGUCUUCAUGUCCCAUCUCUAUGCUAAAUUUACUCCAAGGGUCUGAUAGCAUCUGCUUAGAUCUAUCUAAUCAUUCAUAUUCUACUUCUUUAUUCAUUCAUCGAUAGAUAUCGAGACUGGUCCUAUUUCUCAGCUAUUGUGGGCAGUGGGUGCUUACAGUGUAGCUGAGUCAAGUUGCAGUUCCACUCUUGGUUUGUUGAGGGACCUCCAUGCUGCUUCUGAAAUGACUACACCAGGUCACACGCCCACCAGCCGUGGGUGAGGGUCCUUCCUCCCCACAUCCUUUCCAGUACCUUUUGUCUUUUGCUUUCUUCACAAGAGCUGGGCAGAAAUGGAAUCUGAAAUUAUUUUUAAUUUGCAUUUCCCUGAUGGCUAAGAGUGCUGAAGACUCUUGAAGUAUUUAUUUGCCGUCUGUUUGAGGGUUGGAAUUAGUUCUCUUUAUUGAUUUACCUUUUUACCACUUACAUUUUGCAGUUCUUUCUGUAUCCUGGGUAUCGGUCUCCUGUCUGAUGUGUAUUUGGUGGAGCUUUUUCUCAGAUGUAGGCUACCAUUUUACUCUAGUAAGGUGGUUCUCUACCUGUGGGUCAUGACUCUGGGGGGCGGGGCUCAUAUCAGGUAUCCUGCAUACCAGAUGUUUACCUUACAAUUCAUAACAGCAAAAUUACAGCUAUGAAGUAGCAAUGAGAAUGGUUUUAUGGUCGGGGUCACCACAACAUGAGGACAUGUGUUAAAGGGUCACAGCAUUAGGAAGGCUGAGAACCACAGCUCUGGUGCCUGUUUUAUUUGCUGUGCAGAGGCUGUUGCACGUCCUGUAUUCUCAGGUAUCAAUCCUUGGGACUAUUUCCUGUGUCAUUAAGUUCUUCUCAGAAAGUGCUUACCUAUGCCCCUCACUUUAAGGAGUUUGACUGCUUUCUCUAGAUAUCUCAAAGCUACUGCUCUUAUGCUGAGGUCUUUGCUACAUUUGAAUAGAUUCUUGUGUAGGCAAAGAGACACAGACCUAGUUUCUCACUCUUCUGCAUGUGCACAGAAGAGUAUCAUCUGUUGGAGAGGCUGUCCCCCCUCCCCCUUUUUCAUGUAUUUCUUUUUUGACAGAUUUGACAAAAUCAGGUUAGCUGUAGCUGUGUGAGUUUCUUCUGGGUUCUUUCCACCCAUCUCCAUCUCUUGGUGGGUGGGGGCGGGGUUCAGUACCAGGUGGUUCUUGUUACUAUGCAUCGAUGAUUUACGAUUAGUUAUCUGAAUUCCUCCAGCAUUACAUUCUUGGUUUGUGAUUUCAUUAGCUGGUGGUCUUUUGUGUUUUUAUACAAGUUUUAGGAUUGUUUCCCCCAGUUUUGUGAAGAAUGGAAUUUAAAUGGAGAUUGUAUUGAACCUAUAGAUGGCUUCUGGUAACGUAGCUAUUUCCGAGAUACUGAUCUUGACAAUCCAUGUUCUUGCCAUUUUGUUUAAUUCUUCAAUUUCUUCCUUCAGUGUUUUAAAGUUUGUAUUACAAAACUCUUUCAUCUCCUUUGUUAUAUUUAUUUUUUGUAUGUGUCGGCGUGUGCGUAGUUAUACAUGUGUUCCCCUCCCCCCAAUAUAACAUACAGGCCAAAAGAGGGUAGUAAGUGUCUCAACCUUCUUCCUUUGAGGCAGGGUCUUUCAUUGAACCUGCAGCUAGGCUGGCAGCCAGCAAGCUUAUCGAUCCUCUUGUCUUCUCCACUUCUCUGGGGCUAUAGAUAUGCACAAAGCCAUACCAGGGUUUUUACAUGGGUGCUAGGGAUUUGAACUCAGGUCCCUGUGCUUGCUCACCAAGUGUUCUUAGUGCUGGAAAUCUCCCAAGGGGACUCCUGGCAUUUUGUUUGUUUGUUUUGUUUUUGUCAAUGAGGAUACUUUGACCUCUUUCUUACUUGUAUUGCUUUUAUUUCUUGUCUUACUCUUCUCAAUAAGACUUAGGUCAUCCAUUAAACAGUGGUGAGAAUAGGCAUUCCUAACUUUAGAGCAAAUGCUUUUGGUUUCCCCCACUUAGUGUUGCCUAAGGACUGAAAAGACGAUCCUUCUUAUGUUGUCACGUGCUCCUUCUGUCCCUAGUUCCAUAAGAGCUUUUACCAUGAAUAGAUGUGGAGUUUUGUCAAAGGCUUUUUACCACAUGGCUCCUGCCCUUAUUUCUGUCUUUGUGUUGUAUUAUAAUUACUAAUUUAUGUGUGUCAGACCAGACUUCCACCCCUGGGGUGAAGCCAUUUUGCUACAGUAUGAUGUUUUUAGAAUGUUCAUGAACUUAACUUGCCAGUAUUUUACUGAGAAUUUUGAUGUCAAAUUUCAUCAGGGGGAUUGGUCCAUUGGUUUGGUUGUUGUUCCUAUUGUCUGUAUUCUGAGCUAGUUUUGAUAUGAAGGUGAUGCUGGCUUUGCAGAAUGUAUAGGUAGGGUGCCUUCCUUUUUGGGGGGGUGGGGAACAGUUUCAAGAGUAUUGAUAUUAGCUCUUUUUAAAAAAUUAUUGGAAAAAAAAAAACCCACUUCAGCCGGGUGGUAGUGGCGCAUGCCUUUAAUCCCAGCACUUGGGAGGCAGAGGCAGGCAGAUUUCUGAGUUCGAGGCCAGCCUGGUCUACAAAGUGAGUUCCAGGACAGCCAGGGCUACACAGAGAGACCAUGUCUCGAAAAACCAAAAACCAAACCAAACCAAACCAAAAAUUAUUGGGUAGAAUUUCGCAGUGGAUGUGUCCAGUCUUGAGGGAUUUUUUUUUUGGAGGGGAACUUUUUAUUAAAACUUCAAUUGUGUUGCCCAUUAUAAAUAUGUAUAAGUGUUUGUAUCUUUUAACAGAUUAUAUGCUUUAGAAAUAGAUUCAUUUCUUCCAUAUUUUCUACUUUUUUAAAUGUAAGUUUGCAAAAUAUGAUCUGGAUUUCACUGCAAUCAAUUUUAGCACCCCCCCUUUCAUCUCUAAUUUUUAUUAGGGUCUUUUUUUCUCCUUGUGUUACUUAGUUGAGCUAGGAGUUUGUAAUUUUUAUCAUUUCAAUGAAGCAGCUCUUUGCUUGAUUCUAAGAAUUAUUCUUUUAGUCUUUAUUUAAUUAAUUUCUUC